rnacentral:lncRNA from 1 species
AUGAUUACUUCCCUCAUUUUCACUGUAAAACCUUUCUUGUUUUGUGCUGGGAAUUUAAGCCAGGGCCUUCUGCAUGCUAAACACACUCUUUGCCACCGAGCUGUACCCCGCUCGGUCCAUUUUAAAAUACCGACUGACUGCUGCCCUGAUGUCAGGUGCGUGACUCAGUGCACAGGCCGCCAGAGGAGGCGCAGGGCCUGCGUGAUUUUCUCACAGCGCCCACAGCCACAGCGGCUCUCAGACCCAGCAAAAAUGAAGAUUAAAACGGCAGCCAAAGUCUAUUGGAGUGGUAGUGGUGAAGAGGCCUGUACAGUUUCCUCUCUCCCUGCAACCUGUCAACUCACUCCAAGGCAAGACGCAGAAAAAGUUAAGUCAGUGUUCAGCCUCUGACCAGAAAAUGCCACUUCCAGCUCUGCAAAGGAAGUAAUUUAACUGGCUCAAAAAGGUAGAUGAAAGCCGGGUGUGGUGGCGCAUGCCUGUAAUCCCAGCACUCGGGAGGCUGAGGCAGGAGG